UUAUAUUUAAAUACGAGAAUCGAGAUUUCAAAGCUCCAAAUGGCUUUAAGCGGUCAAGUGGACUUUAAAAAAAGUUGUACCCAUAGCCAACGGCAUUCUACUUGUCCUGUGUUUUAGUUUGAUUCCAAAACUAUCGAAAUAUCUCGCAACGCACUGCCUUCGUUGAGUCAGCUGGAAGAGCUAGUAAGCUUUUUGGAAAGCAAACCAUGUUUGAUUAUGAUGGGCCAUGCUCGUACUGCGAAUGCGAGCAUGCAUGCAUGAUCCGAAAACAACAGCCCUAAACAGUGAAGUAGUGGGUGUAUGAAAAUAUUGGAGCAGUGGUGUAAGUACUGGAAGGACAAAAAGGAGCAGUUCAGAGGAAGUCCAGUUCUAUUGCAGCUGCGAGCCAACAUGAAGAAUUUGCCAGAACUCGGUGUAAUCAAGUUAAAAAUACAUUCUAUUAUGCAAGGAGAAUGUUUUGGAAUCUGAAUUUAGAAAUAAAUGCAUAUUCAUUAUAAAAUACAAAAUAAUAAAAAGACAUGAUGAAUUAAAA
rnacentral:lncRNA from 1 species